rnacentral:rRNA from 1 species
GUAGGUGGCAAGCGUUGUCCGGAAUUAUUGGGGCGUAAAGCGCGCGCAGGCGGUUCUUUAAGUCUGAUGUGAAAGCCCACGGGCUCAACCGUGGAGGGUCAUUGGAAACUGGAGAACUUGAGUACAGAAGAGGAAAGCGGAAUUCCACGUGUAGCGGUGAAAUGCGUAGAGAUGUGGAGGAACACCAGUGGCGAAGGCGGCUUUCUGGUCUGUAACUGACGCUGAGGCGCGAAAGCGUGGGGAGCAAACAGGAUUAGAUACCCUGGUAGUCCACGCCGUAAACGAUGAGUGCUAAGUGUUAGGGGGUUUCCGCCCCUUAGUGCUGCAGCUAACGCAUUAAGCACUCCGCCUGGGGAGUACGGUCGCAAAGGCUG